GGGGGGGGCAAGCGUUGUUCGGAAUUACUGGGCGUAAAGGGUUCGUAGGUGGCCACUUAAGUCAGACGUGAAAUCCCUCAGCUUAACUGGGGAACUGCGUCUGAUACUGAGUGGCUUGAGUGCAGGAGAGGAAUGCGGAAUUCCAGGUGUAGCGGUGAAAUGCGUAGAUAUCUGGAGGAACACCGGUGGCGAAGGCGGCAUUCUGGACUGUAACUGUCACUGAGGAACGAAAGCCAGGGGAGCAAACGGGAUUAGAUACCCCGGUAGUCCUGGCCCUAAACGAUGAAUGCUUGGUGUGGCGGGUAUCGAUCCCUGCCGUGCCGAAGUUAACGCGAUAAGCAUUCCGCCUGGGGAGUACGGUCGCAAGGCUG
rnacentral:rRNA from 1 species